rnacentral:rRNA from 1 species
UACGUAGGUGGCUAGCGUUGUCCGGAUUCAUUGGGCGUAAAGAGCUCGUAGGCGGCCACUCAAGUCGAAUGUGAAACCUCGAGGCUUAACCUCGAGCCUGCAUUUGAUACUGGGCGGCUAGAGUCUGGUAGGGGGAUCUGGAAUUCCUGGUGUAGCGGUGGAAUGCGCAGAUAUCAGGAGGAACACCGGUGGCGAAGGCGGGAUCCUGGGCCAGUACUGACGCUGAGGAGCGAAAGCGUGGGGAGCAAACAGG